GCUGGCGGCGUGUCUAACGCAUGCAAGUCAAACGAGAAAGUGGAGCAAUCCAUGAGUACAGUGGCGACCUUGGUCAGUAACACGUGAUUAACCUACCCUCGAGUGGGGGAUAACUCCGGGAAACCGGGGCUAAUACCGCAUAACAUCGCUUGGUGAAAUUCCUUGUGAUCAAAGGAGCAAUUCGCUUGAAGAGGGAGUCGCGUCUGAUUAGCUAGUUGGUGAGGUAACGGCCCACCAAGGCAAUGAUCAGUAGCCGGCCUGAGAGGGCGCACGGCCACACUGGAACUGAAACACGGUCCAGACUCCUACGGGAGGCAGCAGUGGG
rnacentral:rRNA from 1 species